CUUCAGGUCGUGGGGAAAUAUAGAAAGUAAACAUUCAAAUCCAGAUCCCGCGAAUACUGUGAGGUGAUUACUGUAUGUAAACGGCGAUCAUUCGUUUGUUCACGUCUUACUCUCUUAUUUUGUCAGAAAUCGUUCAGAACCACGAAGUUACUUCAGCUUUACACAAAAAUAUUGGAAGUCCUUGAUUGUGUCUUUUGAAAUUACAGAACCACAUACAGUUUAGCUUUCAAGAUCUGCCCUGAUAAAUGUUUUUUACGACGUGUAUGCAGAUAUGUCACAAACGCAAAAGACUGAUACACCAAUGUUUCAUACAGCACAGUCCUCUCCUGGCCUGAACAUAGAUAUCGGCCGACAACCAUUACAGAUUUCAGGAGAGAACAUAACACACAA